GUAGUUUUCCCUGUACAAGCUCUCGCCUGCCGCCAUGUAAACGUUCUUUGCUCCUGCUUCGUCUUCUGCCGUGAUUGUGAGGCCUCCCCAGCCAUGUGGAACUACUCAUCACUCACUGCAGAUGUUACUUUAAGACAUUCUGGAGCAGCGUCAUGUGCAGGAACAAUAAGGAAGUGAGUGCUUUUGUAAUUCCUGAACAACUGUGUCUUACACUUACUAAGUUCUCUUGCCUGCCACCAUGUAAGAUAUGCUUUUACUCUUCCGCCUUCCACCGUGACUGUGAGGCCUCCCCAGCCAUGUGAAACUAUAUGUGUAAUGGAAAAUCGAAACCAACCAUGGGGCAUAAGGAGGAACAUUACAUAGGUCAGAUUUAAAGAAUGUCUCUGAGGGAAAAUAGUGGAAAGCUCUAAAGGAAGGCCUUUGAGCUUAUACUGAAUUAUACCACCAGCUUUCCUAGGUCUUGAAGCUUACAGACAGCAGAUCUUGGGACUUCUCAGGCACCAUAAUCAAUCAUAGAUAAAUGAUCCAAUGAUUCGGAACUUGAAAAGUGGUAGCUUUAUGAAUUCUCCUUAAGAAGAAACCUGUGCCCUGAUCUUGCCUACUCACCCAAAGGCACUGUGAGAUAGCAUCAAAGGAACAGCUAGUAAGAGACACAGAGCCAGAAAUCAGGGAAGUAAAAUACACUUGACAUCUACGUUCGGAAAGAAAUUUUAGGAGGCAGAAGCAAAUGGAUCAGAAGCUGCUUAUAUUUUUGCAAGAUUACCAAAGAAACCAUUGGUGGAGAAAGUUCUGUGACCAACUUGUCUGAGUCUAGUAAGAUUGAACGCUCACACACAAGUUUCAUGAAGUGGGUUUGAUACUUACAGAUAAGCAGCAAGGACCAACAGAAGCUGAUGAUCUAUGGUGAACUUUUUCCCAAGGCUCCGGAAAGCUGCCUAAAGUAGAUGGAGUCUUCUCUGUGUGUGCCCCACUGGUCCUGCAGUUGAAGGAUCCGGUAAAGCAGCCUGCCCUUGGUUUUAUACUCCAGAGGAACGUGAUUCGCUGGACUAAAGCAUUGAAGUGCAUCCUGUUUCCGGGGGGCACUGGAACAGAGCCUGGUCUGUUCUAGCCAGUCCCUUUCUAUCUCAGGAUAACAUUCUACAGUUAUUCUUGAGAACUAUAAUCAAAUAAGCAGGGAGAACUGGAGGCUCAUUGUGGAACCCUCAAGGAGCAUGGGGUCGUCUUCAUCCCUCAGUUUAUAAAUGGCCAAGGAGAGUAAUGCAACAAAAACUUCUCAGAGUUAAAAGCCAGAGUUCCUAAAGAACCGUGGACAAAGGGUUCUGUCUAGUGGGCAGAAUUCAUCCAGCGAAGGUGCUUACUGCACUCCCAGCAUGUGCUUGGGAACUUUAUUAAAAUUCCUUCCUAUUGAGAUUUAAAUUGCUGUCCAGAAUUAUACAAUAUAAUGAAUGGGGGCAUUCAUUAUGUGUAUUCUAUGCCUUCUCCAUCAUUGCAUAUUCAGUCCUCGUGCUAGAGAGAGGCAGAUAAUCUACCUUUUAAAUUGAUAGGUCUCCUAACUACAGAGGGUCACAUCUGGAUCUGAUGGCACCUACAGAACUUGGACUCUGAGCGACAAUCAGUGACCAGGAAAUUUGGAACCCAGGUUUUCCCAACCUACAUCUACAAAAUGGAAUGGGUCUGAUUCGCAAGUUUUCAGAGAAAGAAGCCAACCUUAAUCAGACUGUGAUAUGAUGAGGAAAUAAAACUUGCUGUGCUAAUCAA
ensembl:lncRNA LINC02241 long intergenic non-protein coding RNA 2241